UUUUUUUUUUUUAUUUAUUUAAGUAUAGUUGAUUUACAAUGUUGUGUUAACUUCUGCUGUACAGCAAAGUGACUCAGAUGUAUGUAUAUAUACAUAUAUAAAUAUAUAUGAGACAUGUUAUAUAAAUAUAUAUAAACAUAUGUGUGUAUUUAUGUCUAUAUAUAUUUCCAUACUCUUGAAAAAUAUGAAAUUGAAAUUCUUAAUAACAUCUUUGGGUUUUUAUUUUGUAAGUGAAGUCUAGUGAGGGUAUGGGACAUGUCUCCUGUCACCUCUGUGCCUCCCUGGGAUAGGUGCAGCUGCCAGCUCCCUUCAUUUUCUGGCCUCUCAGCCCUGUCCACUCUCCUCCUCACCCUACCCAGGACCAGGGGGACCUGGGCAACAGGCACAAGGAAGGUCAGGGUCAUGCGUCCUAGGGCAGGGCAUGGCAAUAGCUGUCCUGGAACGUCAGCACCGCAGUGCACCCCGUGGGCAUCUGGGUAGGGAUGAGGCUCUUACUCAUCCCCUGUGCAAGUGCAUCCUAGCAUGGAUGUUGCAGUCUCUUGGAGGUAUCCCUCCAAUGUGGUUUAUAGAAUAGAGGCCAGGGAAGACCUGGCUCAACUUCCCUACCUUUAACCAGAGCAUGGUCUGUUACUCCUACUAAUUGUUGGGGGUGGGGAGAACCAAGCAGCUGAUGGACCUUGAAGUCUCUCUGAACAAGAUAUCCUGCAUUUGCAUCUUGCACCAGGCCCUGCAAAUUAUAGAGCUGGCCCUGAUUCUAAGGUCUUUAUUUCCAGCCCAGAUUUCUCUUCCGUGUUGCAAAUGGUAUAUCUGCCUACAUGCUUGAACAUGGAUUCAUUUGGAUAUUUCUUAUGACAUUACAGAUUCAGCAGGUUUAAAACUGAGUUUAUAACCUCUGUCCCAAAAGUGUUUCUCUAAAUCUGGGAAUAGCACCACUAGUUAUACAAGCCAAUAAUUUGAGAAUCAUUUUGACUCCUUCCUCUCUCUCUUUUCCUUCCUAUCCAAGCAGUUGCUAAAUCCUCUGGCAUCUACUUCUGGAUAUCUCCAAAACAUUCUAUAUUUGUUACCCAUUGUUACAUUGCUGCAUAACUGCAUAGCAUGAUGUUUUACAGAGACUUGAAGUAGGAGAUUAAGACAUGCAACUAUCGGAGGGAAUGGAGUUUUAGACAGAAGGAAAACAAAUACAACAGUUCUAAGAAGAGGCAAAGAUGUCAUGGCUGAUAGAUCAGCCCCAAAUGCAGUGGCCUAGAGCAACAAUAAACAUAUUAUCUCAUAGUUUCUGUGAGUGAGGAAUUAGGAGCAGCAGAGUCAAGGGAUUUGGGCCUGCAUUCUCUCAAAGUUCUAGUCAAGAUGUUAGCCAGGGCUGCGGUCACCUGAAAGCCUGACUAGGGUUCUAGAUCUGAUCCUAAGAGAGCUUCCACUCAAGAUAGUUCCCUUUCAAGUGGUGCUGCUUGUUUACAGUCACCUCAGUUCCUUCCUACGUGGGCCUGUCUGCAGCCUUCUUGGGAGUCUUCAUGACACAACCUUGUCUUCUUAUACUCAAGCAAUUCAAGAGAGUGGGCCACAUGGAAGCCACAAUAUCUUUUAGAACCUAUCCUGGGAAAUCAUAUUGUUAUUGCUGCCAUUGGUUGCACAGGUCAGCCAGCUUCACUCACUCAGGGAGGGGCUCAUACAGAGCAGGAAGACCAGAGGCAGGGCUCUUUGGGAGCCAUCUUUGAGGCUGGCUGCCACGGCUGCCACCCAUCUCCACUAUCAUGUUCUGAUGUUUGGAUACAUACCCCCAUCAUUCUUCAUUCUAUUUUUUUUUUUAAUGGCUGCACCUGUGGCAUAUGGAAAUUCCCAGGCCAGCAGCCAAAUUGGAGCUACAGCUGUGGCCUAUGACACAGCCAUGGCAAUACCAGAUCCGAGCCACAGCUGGGAUCUACACCACAGCUUGCAGCAAUGCCAGAUCCUUAACCCACUGAGCCAGGCCAGAGAUAGAACCCACAGAGACAACAUUGGGUCCUUAACCUGCUGAGCCACAAGCGGAACUUCUCAUUCUUCAUUCUUAGUUAGAGAGAACUGACCAUGAGCUGGCCAAUUUCCUGGGUGUUGGGGAUUCGAUAGUAAAAGCAAAAAAACAAAGACAGCAUCCUGCCUUCAUGACCUUCCAUUCCAGAGAAUAAAAUAAGACAAAUGUACUUAUUUAUUUGUCUCUAUCCAGUGUGAUUCACACAUAAGUAAGUACAUUCGUCUUAUUUGCCUAGCCAAGAGCAAGAGAGAGUGAUGGCUGGGGGAAGGGUUUACAUGGAGCAGAUAGGGAAAACCUUCUGAUAAGGUGACAUUUUAGCAGAGAUCUGAAGACAGUGCGGGAAUAAGACAUGUAAAUACCUGUCCAUGAGACCAGAGUUUUAAGAAGAGGUAAAUGCAAGUGCAAAAGCCUCGAGGAAAGCACACUUAGUGUCAUCAAGAAAAGCAGAAAGGCUAUGGUGACUGUAGGUGGGGAGUGGUAGGAAGACAGGUUGGUGGGGGGAGGAAUGGCAAAAUCAAUUUUGCCAUCAGAAGAACUUGGGCUUUUGCUCUGAAUGAUGGGAAAGACGUUGGAAAGUUUUGAAUAAAUGGAUGGCAGGAUUUAACUUAUGUUUAAAAGGAUCUUUCUGGCUACCUUAUAGAAAAUAGACUAGACUAUGCAAAAGGAAGUAUAGAAGAAAGGAAGCAAUUAAGAGAUGAGUUUUUUCAUUAAGACAAUGGAUGAUGUUCUUGAACCAGAAUGUUAGCGGUAGGUGCGAAUUACAUAUGUGUUUGGAGGUAGAGCUGAGAAGCGUUUCUGAUAUACUGGAUAUGGGUGUGAGAAAAAAAGAGAGUCAAGAAUAACACCAGGGUUUGGACCUGAGUCACUAGGAAAAUGUAGUUGCCUUUGUUGAAGUGGAAGACCACAGGACAGUAAGGGGUGGAGGCGUUUGGUUCUGGACCCAUAAACUUGAAUUCACUAUUAGACAUCCAUGUAGAGAUGUUCAGCUGUCAUGAGACGAGUCUGGAGGAGAAAUCUGCAUGGGAGAUAUAAACUUCAGACUGGAUAAGACUGUCGGGAAAGUUUAUAUAAAGAGACAAGUCGAAGGACUGAGCUCUAGGACCCUCUACCCCGCUACCUGCAAUGGGAAAAUGAAGAAAAACCAGCCAAGGAGGCAGAUGGAAGGAGUGUCCAGUGAGGAAUGAAAAGGAAAGAAAAGGAGGAGGAUCAGUUAAAUUUUUUUCGAAAAAGGAGAUGCCUUCCUGUGUCAAAUGAAUCCAAUAAAAUGACUUUGUAAAGACUUCAAAUUUUCCUGUGACUGGAAUAGUUUUCUUUGGAUGUGAAGAGAAUUGAUCACUAGGUUUAGCAAUGGGAUGUCAACAGUGACCUCCCAGUAUCAGAGGAGUGGUAGGGGACAAAAGCCUGGAAUGGGUUCUCCAAUAUGUUUUUUUUCCAGUGCCACCAAACAGUUCUCCAGUUCUCAGAGGAUACUCGACUAUGUGUCCUGAUGUGAUUUAUCUGUGAGAUAGCAUCAGAUCACACAAAUUAAGCACGUAGCCCCACAAAAUUGCACUCCCUCUCCCACUUCAGAUGCCAAUUACGGGUCCAGGUUGUCACCUGUGCUUUUGACCAACCAGCUAUGGGCUGGAGGUUCCCACAGUCCCCAACUUGGGUUUGAUUAGUUUGUUAGGGCUGCUCAAAGAACUCAGAGAAACAUUUACGUAGGUUUACCAAUUUAUUAUAAGGGAUUUUAUAAAGGAUACUGAUUAACUGAGAGAUGAACUACAUAAGGUGAGAUCUGAAAAGUCCCAGACACAGGAGUCUUUUGUCCCCAUGAACCCAGGAUGCACCCCUCCCCCCCAGCCUGUGCAUGUGUUCACCAACCCAGAAGCUCAUCAAAUCUUGUUCACAAGAGGUUUUUUUUUUAAUCUUCUUUCAGUUCUUUUUUUAAAUGAUUUUUAUUUUUCCCAUUAUAGUUGAUUUACUACAAGAAGUUUUUAGGGCUGAAAGCUCUAACCCUCUAAUCAUGUGGGUGACACAAGCGGCCCCAUCUCAAGGCUAUCUAAGGGCACCCCUGGCAAGUUACAUCAUUAGCAUAAGCUCAAAAGGGGGUCCUCAUGAAGGACAAAAGACACUGCUACC
rnacentral:lncRNA from 1 species